rnacentral:tRNA from 1 species
AAGGGUAUAGCUCAAUGGUACAGUGCAUGCUUAGCAUGCAUGAGGUCCUGGGUUCAAUCCCCAGCACCUCUG